rnacentral:rRNA from 1 species
GGGCCCGCACAAGCGGUGGAGUAUGUGGUUUAAUUCGAUGCAACGCGAAGAACCUUACCAGGGUUUGACAUCCUGCGAAUCUCUUGGAAACAGGAGAGUGCCUUCGGGAACGCAGUGACAGGUGGUGCAUGGCUGUCGUCAGCUCGUGUCGUGAGAUGUUGGGUUAAGUCCCGCAACGAGCGCAACCCACGUCUUUAGUUGCCAGCAUUUAGUUGGGCACUCUAGAGAGACUGCCGGUGAUAAACCGGAGGAAGGUGUGGAUGACGUCAAGUCAUCAUGCCCCUUACAUCCUGGGCUACACACGUACUACAAUGCUACGGACAAAGAGUCGCGAGCUCGUGAGAGUCAGCU